GGUGGAAGUGGAUCAGGAACUGGCGGAAAAGGAACAGGAAGUAGCGGAAAAGGGAGUGGAAGUGGUGAUGGUGCUGCACCUUCUGCUUCAUUGUUUCUAACCGCGAUGAGUUGUCUGCCCAUACUAUAUGCCAGAUUUCUAUGAGGGGUCCACCACCGCCAUGUUAGAACAUCUGUGAUGAAGCUGGAGGCGACGUCAAUGUUACUUUUCAGCUGAUGUUAUCUUUUUCAUCGUUUUGUUUCACUUUUUUGUUUGUUUUUAUGCGAAUUGCUGUGAUAUAUAAUAUUCAUAGAGUUGCUGUGCUAAACUCAUAAACUUUAAGCAAUCUUUCCUCUCAGUUUUUACUGAAUCGCAAUGAACUCAUAAUGGAAAACAAUUUCAGUGGUUAAUUAAUAAAACAUUUGAAUAAGUAAUGGACGAUAUCUGCAGAGCUGAAAAAAGAAGUUAAUUUAAAAUAAAAUAAAAACAGUAUAUGUAUUAUUUGAUUAUGCAAAAAUGUUUAACAUACUGGUUUGCUGUAUUAA